AUAUAAUGGAAAGCGCCUGAACUAUUCUAAUGGACGGGAAAGCUAGAAUAGUUGACGAGGAAGAGGUUUAUCGAGGAAAUCGGCGGAUGCCUCUCGGUUGCUACACCACAAUCGUAAGCUUUAGUGAAAAACAAGAAGGUGACUUCUUGAACAAAGGCUAAAGCAUUGGUGUUC
rnacentral:ncRNA from 2 species